UCCCUGCUGUCUCAGCUGGUAAAGAAUCUGCCUGCAAUGCAGGAGACCUGGGUUUGGUCCCUGGGUUGGGAA
rfam:TPA: Bos taurus chromosome 27, whole genome shotgun sequence.